AGAUAUCUGUCCAAGUGUGUGUACUGGACCUGAUAGCAAGAUACCCCAUUGCUACCGAUUGGUGCAGAAACAAAUGGGAUGGCAGCAAGCAUUGAAUUACUGCAAGUGAGAUGGCGGUACCCUAGCUGCUGUCUACAGAAUGAAAGAAUACCAGCUUCUUCUUUCCAUGGUAAAGCAGACCCAGAACCUCUCUGCUUAUGCCUGGGUAGGACUGAAUAAUAUGGCACAGGAAGGGAUGUUUGUGUGGACUGAUGGAUCAUCUGUGGAAUGGUUCUGGUCCAAAAAUGUCAAAGCUCAGCAGUCGGGGAGAAGACUGUGGCACUGAACUCUCAGGCAGGGGCUGAGGGCUUUGAUGACAAGUGUGAGUGGCUGUACCUUAGUCUCCGUGAGAUUCGCUACAAGUGAAGCAGUCAAAGAUGACAGAGGAGUCCAACACCAUCCACACAGAGUGAGAGCGCAAAGGGAUUUUGCCAACAUACUCUGAUUUUAUUUUAUGUUAUCGCACGCAAACUCCGUUGAGUUGUUUGAGGAUAAAAAGUGAUAUAAUGGUAAUUACAUUAUCAUUUGUUGCCAUUUUCAAUUGUAACAGGAAGUUAGUCAGGUUGAUUCUACAAUUGCAUUUUCAAUCUUGUUUUCUUUAUGUAACUAGCCUUAAGCUACUAACCAUUGAGGCACCCACUAAAGGUUUAUCCACAGUUCAAUCCCCUUACUAACUCACAACCGACUGUUUAUCUAAGAACACAGAUAGGAUAGUGUCGCAUGUACAGGUAAAAUUAGUCUCAAUACUCUGAGGGAACAUUGUUAAUGGUUUGCCUAUUUUGUGGAAUAUUGAAAGAAUUGGUGGAAUUGUUGCAUCCUGAUUAUCCCUCAAUGCUUCCAUGCCCAUCUCUUUGAAUAAAACCUUUCAGCAUUAACCUUUCUAAGGCAUGGCCAAUCUGUUUUACAUAUCACCGUAUAAUUUCCUAUGUACUAGCUUGAUUGUUUGGUGUCUGGUACCUUGUGUAAGACGUCAGACAGAAAUAUGAUACUCACAGCACGCACAGCAUCAACAAGGAGGGGGGAGGACGUAUAGCUUCUUGCUGUAGUUGAGACCGGUCUGCUCGCUCACCAAUGUGCACAGCUUAUCCACAUUAACACCAUUGAAUAACUUGGCACAAAGCCCGGUACAUUAGCAACAAUGUAAUAAGCACAUAGAAACAACAGUGUAAAGUGAAGCAUAUUUUCCAAAGUGAACUUUCCAGACACAUUUAUUGGGCUGAUAACAUUACUCAAACACAGUGUAUGACCAUUGUAAACAAUAAAACUGAAAGAAAAGGCUUCAGCUCAGAACUGCUUCCAGAAUUCAGUGUGCCAAGCGUUUAAAAUACUCAAGUUUUUUUCAUCUCUUUUUUUUUUAAUCCUCUUAAUAUAUUUUUAAAUGUUUUUGUAUUUAUCUUUUUCAGCAGUACUGAUAAUUAUACUAUGUACAACAAAGGCCGAGACACGCAUCGGUUCAUCCCUUAGACAGAAGCUCCAUUCCCGUUUUUUCCUUUUGUAAUGACCUACUGUUACAAGGCAAGAAUGUAAGGUCUCGCUCUCUUGGGUUGUUGCAGUCGGCAUGCCUUGUAGGUGAUGACGAUGCAGCUAUGAGCCUUGCAUACCUUCUGUCUGCACCACUAGGGGCAGUGUCUUAAGUCCUUAAGAUCCCCCCCCCCCCUGGUAGCAAGGUGUCUAUGUACAAAGGCUAAAAGUCCCACUCAGUUCAUGUGAAGAGGCUUUACGAAAGAAAUGCUUCCGUGUUUUUGUAUGUUUUCAACUUUUUUUUUAUCUCCCAAAAAAGUAUCAGUAUCAAAACGGGUUUCGUAAUAGAUAUAUUUGUAUUGGGUGGGUGUGUUAGCAUGUGUUGGACAAAUAGUUGUCGAUGUACGUAUGAAAAGUUGUAGUCUCUUUGCAAAGCAACGCAAAGUAUUUUACUUGGU